ACGUAGGAGGCAAGCGUUAUCCUUAUUUACUGGGCUUAAAUUGCGUGCAUUCUUUUGGCUAAUUUCGUUGUGAAAGCGCCCAGGCUUAACCGGGCGAGGACAAUGAAGACUGGUCAGCUAGAGGACGGUAGAGGGGUGUGGAAUUCCGGGUGUAGUGGUGAAAUGCGUAGAGAUCCGGAGGAACACCAGAGGCGAAGGCGACACCCUGGGCCGUACCUGACGCUAAGACGCGUCAGCACGGGGAGCGAACGG
rnacentral:rRNA from 1 species